rnacentral:rRNA from 1 species
GACGAACCGUGCGAACGUUAUUCGGAAUCACUGGGCUUAAAGCGCGUGUAGGCGGGCGGGUACGUCGGCGACUGAAAGCCCCCGGCUCAACCGGGGAAGGGGUGCCGAAACGGCCGGCCUGGAGGGGCGUAGGGGGACCUGGAACUUCCGGUGGAGCGGUGAAAUGCGUUGAGAUCGGAAGGAACGCCCGUGGCGAAAGCGAGGUCCUGGACGCCAUCUGACGCUGAGACGCGAAAGCGUGGGGAGCGAACAGG